AGAAACUCUGUUUUACUCCCGAUGUUUAGCCAUAUUCAUCCAUUCUUCAAACCCAACAUCAAAUGAAAUAUAAAACCUACCUCAAGAUAUGAAAGAGAGAUUCUAGUAGAAAGAGAGAGUGACAAAAUCUCUUUGGAAGCAGAAAAAUGAAAUUUUGGAUGCUUAAAUCAGUCAAGAUUGAAGGAUCGGCUACGAAAAAAUUGAACUAGGAAAAAGUGGUGAUGACUGAAUUAGUUCAUCUUUUUAAUCCAGCAUGUUCGGCCAUCAAAUUCAAAUAGAAGAGGCAUCCAUUAUUGCUUUGGGUUUCAAAACAUAAAAAAUAAAAUUCAGCAAACAAGGAAGAAAAAUGGUGGCGAUGAACCAUCGAAUUUGUGAUACUAAGGUUGGAGCAGUGACCAAGAAUAGUCAAAAACCAAAAGUGUUCUUCAUCCUCAAAUUCUCUUCACAUAUUCUGCUUCAACCGGAUGCACAAAAAUGGAGCAAGAAACAACAAGAGAAAUACAUGGGGCCAUCAUUUAUCCUCUGCAAAUAAACCCCCAGUGUCCGGCAUGAAGAGGAAGGAGGCACGACAAUCAUGGAUUUCUUCUCUCUAUUUGAAGUUGAAAAAGAAGGUUUUGAGGGAGGGCAGAAUUAAUUGGAUUUUUGCUAGUUCAUAUACAGACUGCACGAGGCUCACAAAAUGAAGAAAAUGGGGUUGUUUGUCAGGUGUUCGACGUAAUGUCUUGGCCAAAAUUUUGCCUCCAAGCUCCAAAUAUGAUCGUUGAUUUAAUAAUGAUGCAAUACCCCACCGUUAUGUAAAUCGCCAGUGACAAUUAG
rnacentral:lncRNA from 1 species